GCUUAACACAUGCAAGUCGAACGAAGUAGCAAUACUUAGUGGCAGACGGGUGAGUAACAUGUAGGUAUCUGCCCUUUGGCCUGGAAUAACACGAGGAAACUUGUGCUAAUACCGGAUAAGUCUUUACGGAGAAAGCUUUAUGCACCAUUGGAUGAGCCUGCACUUGAUUAGUUUGUUGGUGGGGUAAUGGCCUACCAAGACUGUGAUCAAUAGCUGAUUUGAGAGGAUGAUCAGCCACAUUGGGACUGAGACACGGCCCAAACUCCUACGGGAGGCAGCAGUGGGGAAUCUUGCACAAUGGAGGAAACUCUGAUGCAGCGAUGCCGCGUGAGUGAAGAAGGCCCUUGGGUUGUAAAGCUCUUUCGUCGGGGAAGAAAAUGACUGUACCCGAAUAAGAAGGUCCGGCUAACUUCGUGCCAGCAGCCGCGGUAAUA
rnacentral:rRNA from 1 species